rnacentral:rRNA from 1 species
AAGCGGCAACAGCUCAAAUUUGAAAUCUGGCGCAAGCCCGAGUUGUAAUUUGUAGAGGAUGCUUCUGGGUAGCGACCGGUCUAAGUUCCUUGGAACAGGACGUCAUAGAGGGUGAGAAUCCCGUAUGUGACCGGCCCGCACCCUUUACGUAGCUCCUUCGACGAGUCGAGUUGUUUGGGAAUGCAGCUCUAAAUGGGAGGUAAAUUUCUUCUAAAGCUAAAUACCGGCCAGAGACCGAUAGCGCACAAGUAGAGUGAUCGAAAGAUGAAAAGUACUUUGGAAAGAGAGUUAAAAAGCACGUGAAAUUGUUGAAAGGGAAGCGCCUGCAAUCAGACUUCGCGGCAGUGUUCCGCCGGUCUUCUGACCGGUUUAUUCUCUGUCGCGAGGCCAUCAUCGUCUCGGCCCGCUGGAUAAGACCUUGGGAAUGUAGCUCACCUUCGGGGGAGUGUUAUAGCUCAUGGUGAUGCAGCGAGGCUGGGGCGAGGUCCGCGCUUCGGCAAGGAUGAUGGCGUAAUGGUUGUCGGCGGCCCGUCUUGAAACACGGACCAAGGAGUCUAACAUCUAUGCGAGUGUUCGGGUGUCAAACCCCUACGCGUAAUGAAAGUGAACGGAGGUGGGAACCGCAAGGUGCACCAUCGACCGAUCCUGAUGUCCUCGGAUGGAUUUGAGUAAGAGCAUAGCUGUUGGGACCCGAAAGAUGGUGAACUAUGCCUGAAUAGGGUGAAGCCAGAGGAAACUCUGGUGGA